GUUUUCCCACACCUCCGACAGGAAUUGUGUAGAAAAAUCAUCAUCCACUACAAAUAUGCUUUGGAGGAAAAUUUCAGAAGUUUCUGGAAAAUCUCUGUUAAAGAUUGCCAAGAAUCAAUUGAUAAAGGAACGAAUUUUAUCAGAAAAAUAUUUUGAUAUGAAACAAAUGAGAACAAAUAUAUGAAACAAAUGAGGGUCUCGUAUUUGAACUGUAACAUCUGGUCACUUACGGUCAUUUGUGCACUCAUCGCACUUCAUCUUAACUGCAGCUGAGUAUACAAAUUUAACAGUAAGAUAAGAAAACAUCUCUUCGCAUGACGUCAGAUCCUGGAACUUAACAACAUAAGGAGCAUCUUUGCAAUGACGAAAGUCUGUGAAUUAUGCACGCUAUCUAUCCACUUGAUAGCACUUAAAAAAAAAAAAUAAAUAAAUAAAUAAA